AUUUGAAGCUGAAGGGGCCAUCUGAGGAGGAACAAGUGCAGCUUCUACAGUAUGAGAGUGGACCCCAGCUGGCAGCCAGCCGUGCACUGGAUUCUCCAACAGCCUGAAUGAGCUGGGGAGCCUGUUAUUUUCCCAGACAAGAAUGCAGCCAAGCUCACAAGGACUUCUGACCUACGAAAUGCCGUGUUCAUCUGCCGUUUUUGAAUCUACCCCUCCACUCCACACCCACCUUGGGAGGAGGACAGGAGAUUGGCAAGCCUCCGGACCAGGCCAGCAUCCCGUGGUAGCAGCACACUGGGUGCAUUGGUCCCUUCACGCCCCACACAUGCCCCUGUGCCUUUCAGGAAGUGAGACUUCCCUCUCUUGGCUUCCUGCUUUUGCCACACCACUCAUCAGCCCUGACAGGCCCUCCAGCCCCUCUCCACAUGCUGCCCAACCACCUGUUAGUCUAUGGACCCAUUUUCUCCCGUACCCAAGGAGGCAGAAACCAGGAAUGGUGCAGAGAGGUCCUUACUAGACAGCUUGGCAGGGGUGUUACUGAUGCUCCCAUGGGGAGUUGAGAUCCAUGACCAGGGGUCCAAAGAGAAGAACAGCAGGAAUGAGAACUAGCAGCCAAAAAGCGGGAGCUAGCACAACAGACAGUCACAGGAGAUGCUGAGUGAAAAGUAAACAUAUAGACUAGCCCAACUUCAUAUUGUUAGGAAGAAUCAUAGUGGCUUGAGUCAUUUUAAAAGAUUAGAUACAUACCUAUUGGAUCUGGCACUUUGAUCCCGUUUAUCACUUUGAAAUCUCAUCCAUUGGAAUUUCGGUCUUUUUUUUUUCAGUCUUGUUGUGUUGACUUCUCUGCAGCACCAACACUGUCACUCUCUCCCUGCUUCUUGAAACUUCUCUCUUAGCUUUCCUGAUACCAGCCUCUCCUACCUUUCCUACUAUAUAUCUGGUCACUUCUUCUCCUUCUCUUUGUAAGAUCCUUUGCUUUCACUCACUCUUAAAACUGGCGUUCCCCAAUGACCCAUCUUUGACCAACCUCUCACUCUCUCCAUUCAUUCUAGGUUAUUUCAUUCCCUCCUAUGGCUUGAUUUCAACACCCUUAUAUGCUGAUGACUCCUAAA
rnacentral:lncRNA from 1 species